rnacentral:rRNA from 1 species
AUGGUAUUACCAUGCCAUCAUUUUGUGGUUUGCUGCAAAGAUGAGAGAAUUGAGCCUGAGGACCUAGUUGAUAAAUGCUACAGCAUUGCCUCAUUUCUGAAAGCCUACCAGCCUAUCAUCAUGCCAGACAGAGAUGAGAGAGAGUGGGAAAAGAUGCAUGGUCCAGUGAUCAAACCCACACCCAAGAAGAAUGACAAGAAGGGAAGGCAUCAGAAGAAUAGAAGGAAACAACCACAUGAAGCCAAGGACAAGAGAGGAGGCAAAAAGCUCACAAGGCAUGGUGUGAUCAUCACUUGCUCUCAUUGCCAAGAGGAGGGUCACAACAGAGCAGGUUGCAACAAGAGGAAGGCCGGUUUGCCACCUGUGAGGCAUGUGCCACAACCACAACCUAUUACUCCUAUUCCUGUUGACUCAUCAGAUGAUGAACAACAGAAUGUGCAUCAAGUUGAAAUUGAUUCAGGAGGUGAAGAAAGUGAAGAGGAGCCAGUAAUAACUCAGGAAGUGUUUGGUGACACAAUGGUACAACAGAUGAGAAGGGAGCAACAAUCAUCUAGGAGACCUGCACUUUCUCAACAACCCAUUCCUGAAUCAAGCUUCAUCAGCUCAGCAAGAGCUCAGAGCAGUAGCAUGCCACAUGUUACUACAACUGCUAGCAGGGAUGGUAGUCAAGCCAUGAAGCUCAGGCAGAUGGAGAUGGAGAAAGACAGAGAAAUGGCGGAGAAGAGAGAUGCUGCACUGGAGGCACUAAAUGCUGCAGCAGAGAAGAGAGCUGCUGAGGCACAAGAGAAGAGAGACCUGGCUGCAAAGAAGAAAGCAAUAGAAAGAGAAGCAAAGAAGCAUCAAACAUAA